rnacentral:rRNA from 1 species
AUGCGGGAGUGCCGCAAGGAACGACAAGACAGGUGCUGCAUGGCUGUCGUCAGCUCGUGUCGUGAGAUGUUGGGUUAAGUCCCGCAACGAGCGCAACCCUUGUCCCUAGUUGCCAGCACGUAAUGGUGGGAACUCUAGGGAGACUGCCGGUGACAAACCGGAGGAAGGUGGGGAUGACGUCAAGUCCUCAUGGCCCUUACGGCCAGGGCUACACACGUACUACAAUGGUCGGUACAGAGGGUUGCGAAGCCGCGAGGUGGAGCCAAUCCCAGAAAACCGAUCCCAGUCCGGAUCGGAGUCUGCAACUCGACUCCGUGAAGUCGGAAUCGCUAGUAAUCGCGAAUCAGCUAUGUCGCGGUGAAUACGUUCCCGGGCCUUGUACACACCGCCCGUCACACCAUGGGAGUUGGCUGCACCAGAAGCAGGUAGUCUAACCGCAAGGAGGACGCCUACCACGAUGUGGUCAAUGACUGGGGUGAAGUCGUAACAAGGUAACCGUAA